CUCCUCCAUGGUGAAGGAUUCUGGUAAGGUCUCAGGCUUGGAACCUUUCGUCGACGUUGACGAGGCAAAGCGAUUGGCCAAGGAGGCGGAAUGGAUGCGGUUUCUGCGGCAGAUGGCACGAGAGAAGAAACAAAACGAUCGGCAGCGGGUACUGCAAGAUACUGUCCUCGACUUCGAUCCCAAGCAAGGGGGCUGAGUACUACACCAGAUUUACCUUCGCCGACCUCACAAAAUUCGAUCUUGACGAGGAGUCGCCCCUUGGUCCGAUGAGAUUUACUGAUGCUGUCUACAAAAAUAAGGACGACUAUGAGCUGUGUGAGGGGAUAAACAUCUUCUGUCAGAAUAACCACCUCGGAUGUUGGCUUCCCUAUCAAUGUGUAUGGCACUGUCAUUGCCAAAGACAGUCUGGACAAGAGGUGUGUUUAUCUCUUCCGCCGGGAGAGAGAUCAGUGCCAACUCAUCAACUCUGAGGUCCAAAACGAGGACUCACAUUGAUAGGUCCGAACUACGUCGAGAUUGAUUUAAAGUUUAUGGAUCAUCAAGGGUAGGACAAAGAACUCAGUAAAGGAA